GAUGAGUAGGGCGGGACACGUGGUAUCCUGUCUGAAUAUGGGGGGACCAUCCUCCAAGGCUAAAUACUCCUGACUGACCGAUAGUGAACCAGUACCGUGAGGGAAAGGCGAAAAGAACCCCGGCGAGGGGAGUGAAAAAGAACCUGAAACCGUGUACGUACAAGCAGUGGGAGCCUCUUUAUGGGGUGACUGCGUACCUUUUGUAUAAUGGGUCAGCGACUUAUAUUCUGUAGCAAGGUUAACCGAAUAGGGGAGCCGAAGGGAAACCGAGUCUUAACUGGGCGUUAAGUUGCAGGGUAUAGACCCGAAACCCGGUGAUCUAGCCAUGGGCAGGUUGAAGGUUGGGUAACACUAACUGGAGGACCGAACCGACUAAUGUUGAAAAAUUAGCGGAUGACUUGUGGCUGGGGGUGAAAGGCCAAUCAAACCGGGAGAUAGCUGGUUCUCCCCGAAAGCUAUUUAGGUAGCGCCUCGUGAAUUCAUCUCCGGGGGUAGAGCACUGUUUCGGCAAGGGGGUCAUCCCGACUUACCAACCCGAUGCAAACUGCGAAUACCGGAGAAUGUUAUCACGGGAGACACACGGCGGGUGCUAACGUCCGUCGUGAAGAGGGAAACAACCCAGACCGCCAGCUAAGGUCCCAAAGUCAUGGUUAAGUGGGAAACGAUGUGGGAAGGCCCAGACAGCCAGGAUGUUGGCUUAGAAGCAGCCAUCAUUUAAAGAAAGCGUAAUAGCUCACUGGUCGAGUCGGCCUGCGCGGAAGAUGUAACGGGGCUAAACCAUG
rnacentral:rRNA from 1 species